rfam:Salmo salar isolate Sally breed double haploid chromosome ssa04, whole genome shotgun sequence.
UGGCUCAGUUGGUAGAGCAUGGGGCUUGCAAUGCCAGGGUUGUGGGUUCGAUUCCCAC